rnacentral:rRNA from 1 species
GAUGAACGCUGGCGGCGUGCCUAAUACAUGCAAGUCGAGCGAACAGACGAGGAGCUUGCUCCUCUGACGUUAGCGGCGGACGGGUGAGUAACACGUGGAUAACCUACCUAUAAGACUGGGAUAACUUCGGGAAACCGGAGCUAAUACCGGAUAAUAUAUUGAACCGCAUGGUUCAAUAGUGAAAGACGGUUUUGCUGUCACUUAUAGAUGGAUCCGCGCCGCAUUAGCUAGUUGGUAAGGUAACGGCUUACCAAGGCAACGAUGCGUAGCCGACCUGAGAGGGUGAUCGGCCACACUGGUACUGAGACACGGUCCAGACUCCUACGGGAGGCAGCAGUAGGGAAUAUUCCGCAAUGGGCGAAAGCCUGACGGAGCAACGCCGCGUGAGUGAUGAAGGUCUUCGGAUCGUAAAACUCUGUUAUUAGGGAAGAACAAAUGUGUAAGUAACUAUGCACGUCUUGACGGUACCUAAUCAGAAAGCCACGGCUAACUACGUG